AACGCGAAGAACCUUACCAGGUCUUGACAUCCGAUUAAAGCCAUUGAAAGAUGGUGUCCCUUCGGGGGAAUCGAGACAGGUGGUGCAUGGUUGUCGUCAGCUCGUGUCGUGAGAUGUUGGGUUAAGUCCCGCAACGAGCGCAACCCUUAUCCUUAGUUGCCAGCACGUAGAGGUGGGGACUCUAAGGAGACCGCCGGGGACAACUCGGAGGAAGGUGGGGACGACGUCAAAUCAUCAUGCCCCUUAUGAUCUGGGCUACACACGUGCUACAAUGGCCGUAACAAAGGGUAGCGGACAGGUAACUGCAAGCGAAUCUCAAAAAAACGGUCUCAGUUCGGAUUGUGGGCUGCAACCCGCCCACAUGAAGUCGGAGUUGCUAGUAAUCGCGAAUCAGCAUGUCGCGGUGAAUACGUUCCCGGGCCUUGUACACACCGCCCGU
rnacentral:rRNA from 1 species